rnacentral:rRNA from 1 species
AGUGAACGCUGGCGGUAGGCCUAACACAUGCAAGUCGAACGGCAGCACAGUAAGAGCUUGCUCUUACGGGUGGCGAGUGGCGGACGGGUGAGGAAUACAUCGGAAUCUACUUUUUCGUGGGGGAUAACGUAGGGAAACUUACGCUAAUACCGCAUACGACAUACGGGUGAAAGCAGGGGAUCUUCGGACCUUGCGCGAUUGUAUGAGCCGAUGUCGGAUUAGCUAGUUGGCGGGGUAAAGGCCCACCUAGUCGACGAUCCGUAGCUGGUCUGAGAGGAUGUUCGGCUACACUGGAACUGAGGCACGGUCCAGACUUCUACGGGAGGUAGCAGUGGGGAAUGUUGGACAAUGGGUGGAAGCUUGAUCUAGCCAUACCGCGUGGGUGAAGAAGGCUUUCGGGUUGUAAAGCCAUGUUGUUGGGGAAGAAAAGAUGCAGGUUAAUACCCCGAUGUUCUGACGGUACCGAAAGAAUAAGCCCCGGCUAACUUCGUG